rnacentral:rRNA from 1 species
AUGUCCCAGUUCGAAGAAAUUAUGCACCAGCUUUUAGCGCAUAAUCCAUCCUUUGAUCUAGUUUUCUUUACAACCCAGUUUCUAGAAGGAUUAAAACAUGAAAUUCGUAUGGGUGUGGUUUUGCACCAACCGAAGGAUUUGGACUCUGCGCUUUCCUUGGCUUCGAUGCAGGAGGAGCUAAUGGACGCCCUACCACGGCGUGAGUACAGGCGCCAGGAUGCGCCACAGGCACGACCGGCACCAAGGCCGCUACUGGCGCUGGGAGCUCAAGUACCAUGCCAACCUCCCCCAGGUGCACCGGUGGCGGCUGACGACAGACGCGGUCUCGACACCGCGAAUGCUCCGGAGCGGGGACGAGCGGCCGACGAUCGAGUGGCCGCGCUGCACAAUUAUCGACGGGCGCGAGGCCUCUGUUUCAAGUGCGGCGAACGCUGGGGGCAAGGGCACCAGUGUGCUGCCAUGGUGCAACUGCACAUCGUCGGGGAGCUGCUCGAGCUUCUCCAGGCGGAUGAUCCAGCCCCACAUCAACCCAUGGAAGAGCAAGCUGAUGAGUACCUGAUGUCAAUCUCCAAGCUGGCAACCACUAGACAGACGACACCGCAUACAGUUCGCUUGUUGGGGGCGAUUGCAGGCAAAGAGAUGUUGAUCUUGGUGGAUUCGGGAAGUUCACAUAGCUUCGUGAGCGAAGGGAUAGCCACUGAUCUACAAGAGCAAGUGCAAGAAAUUGCCACCACCUCGGUCAAGAUUGCGGAUGGGGGAGUGCUACAAUGCAAGGGCAUGAUUCCAGCAUGCUCGUGGACAACCCAGGGGCACACAUUUCAGACCGACCUGAGGGUUCUGUCAUUGGGUUGCUAUCAUAUGGUCGUGGGCAUGGACUGGUUACAGAAGUGUGGCCUGAUGUGGGUCGAUUGGGAACACAAAACCCUGCAGUUUCAGCAUGAAGGGGAAUGGGUGCAGCUAACGGGUGUUCAACCAAAAAGUACUGCAGUGGCACAGAUCUCCGCACAACAGCUGAUGGAAUGGGAAGAACAGAAUGCCAUUGCUCAUGUAGUGUUGCUCCAGAGUAUUUCAUCACCUUCGCAGGACAUGCAAGAACUUCCAAAGAUUGUUGCAUUACUCGGUGAAUUCCAGCUUGUUUUUGCUGAGUCCACAACUCUACCACAACACCGUAGCUGGGAUCACAUGAUUCCUCUUAUUGCAGGGGCCAAACCAGUGAACAUCCGACCUUACAGAUACACCCCAAAACAGAAAAGUGAGAUCGAAGCGCAGAUUAAGGAAAUGUUACAGCAAGGAUUGAUAGUACCCAGCGUCAGUCCCUUCUCAUCCCCGGUGCUACUGGUGAAGAAAAAAGACCAAAUGUGGCGCUUCUGUGUGGAUUUUCGGCACCUGAAUGCAAUCACUAUCAAGGGCACUUGCUCCUUGCCCAUCAUCGAUGAGCUCCUUGGCGAACUGGCCAGAUCAAAAUGGUUCUCGAAACUUGACCUCAGGGCAGGGUACCAUCAGAUCCGAUUGGUGGAAGAAGAUGAAGAGAAGACAGCAUUUCGAACUCACAUGGGCCACUUCCAAUUUCGGGUGAUGCCAUAUGGGUUAGCCUACGCUCCUGGCACGUUUCAGACUGGAGUCAAUAUUGUGUUGGGGCCACUGGAACGGCAUGGAGUGCUCAUAUUCAUGGACGAUAUUCUAGUGCACACAGCUACAUACCAAGAGCACCUGCAGUUGCUGCGACAAGUACUCCAGAGACUGCGCGACCAUGAAUUGGUGGCUAAGAGAUCUAAAUGCUCAUUCACACAGCAACACAUCGACUACUUGGGCCAUCAUAUCAGUGACCAGGGAGUGUCAACUCUGACGGAGCACAUUCAGUCAGUGCAAAAAUGGAAACAACCCACAACAGUCAAGCAGCUGAGAGGAUUCCUAGGGUUGGCAGGGUAUUAUCGCAAGUUUGUGCGCAACUUUGGAGUGCUCAGCAGGCUGUUGAACGACUUGCUUAAGAAAAAUGCAGUGUUCGUAUGGACACCCACAGCACAAGCGGCCUUCCAAGCACUUAAGCAAGCAUUGGUCUCAGCCCCGGUUCUGGCAUUACCGGACUUCUCCAAGCAGCUCGUAGUAGAAACAGAUGCGAGCGCAACAGGCAUUGGAGCCGUGCUCAUGCAAGGGGGGCACCCAGUGGCGUAUCUCAGUAAAAGUUUGGUUCCACGAAAUUUAGGGCUGUCAGCAUACGAGAAGGAAUGCCUAGCACUUCUCCUGGCAGUGGAUCACUGGCGCCCCUAUUUACAACACUCUGAAUUCCUCAUUCGCACGGAUCAGUGGAGCUUGCUGAACUUAACAGACCAGCGACUCAACACCCCGAUACAACAACGAGCCUUUACAAAACUGGUGGGUCUGCAGUUUCGAAUCCAAUAUAAAGCAGGAGCAACAAAUCGGGCAGCGGAUGCUCUCUCUUGA